AAAGUCGUAACAAGGUUUCCGUAGGUGAACCUGCGGAAGGAUCAUUAGUGAUUUGACCUCCGGGUCUAUUACAAAUCCACAUACCUCUGUGAACCGUUGGACCUUCGGGUCUACUUUACAAACAUCAGUGUAAUGAACGUCAUAUCAUAUAACAUAAUAAAACUUUCAACAACGGAUCUCUUGGCUCUC
rnacentral:misc_RNA from 1 species